GUUCAUUCCUGAACAUAUACUAGGAUUGAAACAGUACAGAGAAGAUUAGCCUGAACUAUGCGCAAGGAUGACACGCAAAUCCGUGAAGCAUUCCAAAAUUUU
rnacentral:snRNA from 1 species